GAAGUACUCCCUCUGUCUGAAAAAACUUGUCUCUUGAAUAGAUGUAUUAGUAUCAAAUUAGUGUUACAUACAUCCAUUUGAGGGACAAACUUGGACAAGCUUUUUCGGACGGAGGGAGUAGUUG
rnacentral:pre_miRNA from 1 species